rnacentral:rRNA from 1 species
GGCGAACGGGUGAGUAACACGUGAGCAACCUGCCCCAAGCUUUGGGAUAACCCUCGGAAACGGGGGCUAAUACCGAAUAGGACUUCUGGCCGCAUGGCUGGUGGUGGAAAGUUUUUCGGCUUGGGAUGGGCUCGCGGCCUAUCAGCUUGUUGGUGGGGUGAUGGCCUACCAAGGCGACGACGGGUAGCCGGCCUGAGAGGGCGACCGGCCACACUGGGACUGAGACACGGCCCAGACUCCUACGGGAGGCAGCAGUGGGGAAUAUUGCACAAUGGGCGGAAGCCUGAUGCAGCGACGCCGCGUGAGGGAUGACGGCCUUCGGGUUGUAAACCUCUUUCAGCAGGGACGAAGCGAGAGUGACGGUACCUGCAGAAGAAGCACCGGCCAACUACGUGCCAGCAGCCGCGGUAAGACGUAGGGUGCGAGCGUUGUCCGGAUUUAUUGGGCGUAAAGAGCUCGUAGGCGGCUUGUCGCGUCGACCGUGAAAACUUGGGGCUCAACCCCAAGCCUGCGGUCGAUACGGGCAGGCUAGAGUUCGGUAGGGGAGACUGGAAUUCCUGGUGUAGCGGUGAAAUGCGCAGAUAUCAGGAGGAACACCGGUGGCGAAGGCGGGGUCUCUG